GCUCUGUGUUCCCUGGUGAGGAUGGCUGUCCUGCUGCCACAGGAAUCCCUGCGCAGGCACCAGGACAGCAGGAGCUGGGGACACCCCUGGGGCCCAGCAGAGCCUUUCCCCACCUCAGCCUGGCUCCAGGCUGCCCCGCAGCAUCCCCAGCGCUGCCCCCGGCCCUCCCUGCCCCCUCACCUCGUGGUGUGUCCGAGCUCGGCUCCCAGGAACGUUCAUGGAUCGCUGCCUCAACGGGCCAUAAUGGCUCCAUCUCUCGGGGUCAAUACGGGCGCCUUUGACACAUGAUAGACAAUAAUUGCUCUUUCUUAGAGACUUUUUAGUUCAUGGAUCAUUGACCUGAUGGGCUGUAACAGCUCCGACAGAGGCUGCACACCCCUGUGCUUAACCACCCUCAGGAGCAGGCAGCUCAUGGGGCCGCGUGGAACACAAGUCUGUCCAAAUCCAUGUCCCAGUGCAGGUUACCAAGGGCCCUGGGGCCACUGGAAGCCCUUCUGGUAGCAUGGCCAUGGAGGAGAGGCCGUGGCAGGAGGCACAGGAGCCCAGGGAAAAGGGCAGCACACCCCAGCAUCCCUCGAGUACUAUGGGACAGAACCAGGAUGCACAGGAGCAGGUCACCUCCCAAGCUCUGCAGGCUGGAGAUCCCCACUCUGACAGCAACUUCCAGAAUCCCUUGGAGAAAACACAUAAGGAAAUUGCUGUAAAUCCACUUAAUGAUGGAAAGGUCCCCAAACACCAUAUUCCAGAGGAUGAAAAAUGCUGGAUGCAAAUGAGAGAGAAUCAAGGUCAAUAACGCUGCGGGGACUGAGCUCACAGCGGCACCGGCCCGGCAGCGGGGCCGGGUGGGUGCACGGCCGCUGAAGAAAUUCUCCUGUCUCGGCAGGAAAAAUGAACGUUUCCUAAGAAAAAAUGCCAAACAUAAUACUUUUGGAGUUCACCAUUCUCAACAAGGCACCAAACAGCCGCCAGCAGAGGGACGGGCACAGCCCUGCUGCAGGCAGAGCUAUUUCUUUCCUCUCAAGCUACUAGAACAGCCAAGCCGCAGAUUCAAAACAAAAACUGAAGAGCUCUGUGUUAAGCAGCCAGUGCAGCGGAGUUUCCUCUCCCCUUUACUGGACUUUGGUUCUUUUUUGCCAAUGUCCCCUCCCUGUGUGGUGUGAGGACAGAGCAGAGCAGCAAUGCCCAAUGCAAACCACACAGAGUUAGUGAAGUGCUCACCCUGGCACGGCCAUCCCAGCACAACUGCUGAUGGCACUGGAACAAGGCAGAAACGUCAAAGCCAGGCAGUUAAACUGCUCUCCUUUUAAUCAGUUUUUACAGAAUAAUACAUUAAUAAUCACGUUAAGAGACAAGAUGGGGUUCCUGUAUACAAGAUUGUGCAAGCUCGUUAAUUUAGAUUUAGAAAGGCUUUACCAAAGAGGAGAGGCAGUACAAAGCUUUUCAAUAGAGGUAAAGCACAAUUAAAAGGUACAGAACACACACUA